rnacentral:rRNA from 1 species
UGGCGGCAGGCCUAACACAUGCAAGUCGAGCGGUAGCACAGAGAGCUUGCUCUCGGGUGACGAGCGGCGGACGGGUGAGUAAUGUCUGGGAAACUGCCUGAUGGAGGGGGAUAACUACUGGAAACGGUAGCUAAUACCGCAUAACGUCGCAAGACCAAAGUGGGGGACCUUCGGGCCUCAUGCCAUCAGAUGUGCCCAGAUGGGAUUAGCUAGUAGGUGGGGUAACGGCUCACCUAGGCGACGAUCCCUAGCUGGUCUGAGAGGAUGACCAGCCACACUGGAACUGAGACACGGUCCAGACUCCUACGGGAGGCAGCAGUGGGGAAUAUUGCACAAUGGGCGCAAGCCUGAUGCAGCCAUGCCGCGUGUGUGAAGAAGGCCUUCGGGUUGUAAAGCACUUUCAGCGGGGAGGAAGGCGUUAAGGUUAAUAACCUUGGCGAUUGACGUUACCCGCAGAAGAAGCACCGGCUAACUCCGUGCCAGCAGCCGCGGUAAUACGGAGGGUGCAAGCGUUAAUCGGAAUUACUGGGCGUAAAGCGCACGCAGGCGGUCUGUCAAGUCGGAUGUGAAAUCCCCGGGCUCAACCUGGGAACUGCAUUCGAAACUGGCAGGCUGGAGUCUUGUAGAGGGGGGUAGAAUUCCAGGUGUAGCGGUGAAAUGCGUAGAGAUCUGGAGGAAUACCGGUGGCGAAGGCGGCCCCCUGGACAAAGACUGACGCUCAGGUGCGAAAGCGUGGGGAGCAAACAGGAUUAGAUACCCUGGUAGUCCACGCCGUAAACGAUGUCGAUUUGGAGGUUGUGCCCUUGAGGCGUGGCUUCCGGAGCUAACGCGUUAAAUCGACCGCCUGGGGAGUACGGCCGCAAGGUUAAAACUCAAAUGAAUUGACGGGGGCCCGCACAAGCGGUGGAGCAUGUGGUCUAAUUCGAUGCAACGCGAAGAACCUUACCUGGUCUUGACAUCCACAGAACUUUCCAGAGAUGGAUUGGUGCCUUCGGGAACUGUGAGACAGGUGCUGCAUGGCUGUCGUCAGCUCGUGUUGUGAAAUGUUGGGUUAAGUCCCGCAACGAGCGCAACCCUUAUCCUUUGUUGCCAGCGGUUAGGCCGGGAACUCAAAGGAGACUGCCAGUGAUAAACUGGAGGAAGGUGGGGAUGACGUCAAGUCAUCAUGGCCCUUACGACCAGGGCUACACACGUGCUACAAUGGCAUAUACAAAGAGAAGCGACCUCGCGAGAGCAAGCGGACCUCAUAAAGUAUGUCGUAGUCCGGAUUGGAGUCUGCAACUCGACUCCAUGAAGUCGGAAUCGCUAGUAAUCGUAGAUCAGAAUGCUACGGUGAAUACGUUCCCGGGCCUUGUACACACCGCCCGUCACACCAUGGGAGUGGGUUGCAAAAGAAGUAGGUAGCUUAACCUUCGGGAGGGCGCUUACCACUUUGUGAUUCAUGACUGGGGUGAA